AACACGGAGUUGCGGUAAGCGCAGACGUAGGACUAUAAAAACGAUAGGUCAAGAGGUGGCGCGGUAGAUGGAAAGAGAUUGGGUUACAUUUUCUGAUACAAGAAUACACAAUAAAUCACAGGCAACCCUUCAUAAACAGAAGGCCGAAGGUGGAUAUUGUAGUAAAUCAAGAAUAGAGAGCUAGAUGAGUAGCUAGCCGUAGGUCGC
rnacentral:rRNA from 1 species